rnacentral:rRNA from 1 species
GACGAACGCUGGCGGCGUGCUUAACACAUGCAAGUCGAACGGUGAAGCGCCUUCCUUUUUGGUGGGUGUGGAUGAGUGGCGAACGGGUGAGUAACACGUGAGUAACCUGCCCCCUUCUUCUGGAUAACCGCAUGAAAGUGUGGCUAAUACGGGAUAUUCUGGGUCUGUCGCAUGAUUGGUCUGGGAAAGAUAUUGUUUCGGUGGGGGAUGGGCUCGCGGCCUGUCAGCUUGUUGGUGGGGUGAUGGCCUACCAAGGCGGUGACGGGUAGCCGGCCUGGGAGGGUGGACGGUCACACUGGGACUGAGACACGGCCCAGACUCCUACGGGGGGCAGCAGUGGGGAAUAUGGAACAAUGGGCGAAAGUGUGAUGCAGCGACGCGGCGGGAGGGAUGGAGGCCUUCGGGUUGUGAACCUCUUUCGCCAGUGAAGCAGGCCUGCCUCGUUUGUGGGUGGGUUGACGGUAGCUGGAUAAGAAGCGCCGGCUAACUACGUG